AGUGAACGCUGGCGGUAGGCCUAACACAUGCAAGUCGAACGGCAGCACAGUAAGAGCUUGCUCUUACGGGUGGCGAGUGGCGGACGGGUGAGGAAUACAUCGGAAUCUACUUUUUCGUGGGGGAUAACGUAGGGAAACUUACGCUAAUACCGCAUACGACCUACGGGUGAAAGCAGGGGAUCUUCGGACCUUGCGCGAUUGAAUUAGCCGAUGUCGGAUUAGCUAGUUGGCGUGGUAAAGGCCCACCAAGGCGACGAUCCGUAGCUGAUCUGAGAGGAUGAUCAGCCACACUGGAACUGAGACACGGUCCAGACUCCUACGGGAGGCAGCAGUGGGGAAUAUUGGGCAAUGGGCGCAAGCCUGAUCCAGCCAUACCGCGUGGGUGAAGAAGGCCUUCGGGUUGUAAAGCCCUUUUGUUGGGAAAGAAAAGCAGCAGGUUAAUACCCCGCUGUUCUGACGGUACCCAAAGAAUAAGCACCGGCUAACUUCGUG
rnacentral:rRNA from 1 species